GUGAGUCAUCGAAUCUUUGAACGCACAUUGCGCCCCGUGGUAUUCCGCGGGGCAUGCCUGUUCGAGCGUCAUCGCAACCCUCAAGCGCGCAGCUUGGUGUUGGGCCACGCCGCCAGCGGCCGGCCCCAAAGCCAGCGGCGGCGGCGCCGGGGCCCUGAGCGUAGUAGCAACACACCCCGCUCCAGGGCACGGCGGCCGCUAGCCGGACCCCCCGUCCUCGUGGUUUGACCUCGGAUCAGGUAGGGCUACCCGCUGAACUUAAGCAUAUCAAUAAGCGGAGGA
rnacentral:misc_RNA from 1 species